CUGGAACAUCAGCUGUUCUCUAGGUCUUAAGUCUGCUGCUCUAACCUACAAAUUUUGGACAUGCCAAUCUCCACAGUCACAUGGGCCAAUUCCUUAGUUUCUCUGGAGAAUCCUGACUAAUGUAUGCAAUGUCUUUAUUUCAUCCUCAUUCUUAAAGGAUAUUUUCAUCAGCAACACCACACCCUCCUGAUCACCAUAGCUUUAUGCAACAACAAGAAACAAAUUUAUUAGCUAACCUAACCACUAAUGACGCAAGAGACAAUUCUAAGGACUUUCAAAACAGCAAAGUAGGAGCAGCUGCUACCUCUAGGGAUGAGGGAUGCAAUUGUCCAAUUAUUGGUGAAAUUGUCAUUUCAUGCUAUUGGCUAUUUGAAAUUCCUCCUCUAAUUUCAGAAUAAAUCACUGAAAUUGACAUCGGCCAGUCUGAAUUUCAAGAAAUUACCUGCUGAAGACAAGAGGGAUCUCUUCUUCAGAUUUGCAGUCUGGGGAAGACACAGCCUCUACUGUACUUUAGAACCUGAGAUAUGGUGGUGGAGGGAGCCCUGGGUCGAGUGGUAAGAUUCACCCUUAGGUUAGUAUUGACGUAAGGUGACGAGGAGCUGUAGACAAAAGAUUGUAACCAUAAGAACUUCAUAGUUUUUGUAUUUUCACCGAGCUUAUAUUUGGUGUGUUUU
rnacentral:lncRNA from 1 species